rnacentral:lncRNA from 1 species
AUUGGAUCCAUUCAUACUCAAACAAUGUCGAUUUAAAGGCUGUUACCCAAGUUUGUUGGCUUUUUGAAUGUUCUCCCACCAUGGGCUCAACGAAAGGAAGUGGAGGGGGCUCCAUAUCGUCCAUUCCAUAAAGAAACUCACAUGCUGUUAUCCCUUUUCCUUCUUCAAACAUUUCUUUAUGUCCUCAAGUCAUAAGCCCUUAAAACAAACUUUUCGUCAAGGCAGUUUUAUGACCACAAGACUGAAACAAAAGUGUAAGUCUGAGAAUCCUUUAUAGGCAAAGAAAGCUUCCCAAAGAAGAAAUGGGACUCAGUCCAAAUCCCUCACAGAAACCUGGCAACUUCAUGCAUUAUUUUCCGUUUAUAAGGUGGGGCUUUGAACACUUCUCCUACUGAAUCAGUUCCCCUGGGUGUCUUUGGGAAGGAAGUGAAACAGUGUUUGGUACCAGAGCUAACGGGGCACUAAACUUGAAAGCAAAAGGGUCCAGCCCCUCACAGUGACCACUUGCCUCAUAGGAUCUGUGAGAAUUCAUUGGGGAUGCCCAGGAAGUAUAUUGGCAUGUGUUCCAUAUAACUAACAUUAUUUAGUCAUCAUUAUUAUUUUUACAUCUGUACAUUAGGCAUAACUUCUGGCUUCCAUGCUAGAAAAUAUCUAUCCACCCUGUCCCUAUUUUUUUCAUGCCUCAUUUUGGAACAGUUUUUGACUUCUGAAACACUGCUAAGUACAAGGAGCCCUAUGAUCUGUACUAAUCAAGUCACCCAAAGGUGGUGGUGGUGGUGGUGGUGGUGGUAGUGGUUGUUGUUUUUAAUUUUCCUAAGUGGGAAAAGACAAGCAGUGACAUUUCUUUUUUGACCUUUCUUUUUCUUCUUUAUUCAAGUAACAUUUAUUGAAUAGGAGCUUGGUGCCAGGCCUGGAGUCUAGCUUCUCACUUAGAUACAAAUGCCUCAAAGGAGCUCAUGGGGCAGAAUAAGGAAAGAAAGUUGUACACAGUUGAAUUACAGCACAGCUAGGCUUUCCAGACUCAGCAAACAAACAUCAAGAUGCAGAGUUCAAUUUGAAAUUCACCCCAGCAUCCACAACACAAUAGCUGCUGUCGAUGAAUGUAAGCAGGAAGGGCUGUGGAAGCCCAAAGGCCUGAACAAACAUCUAAAACGUUUAUAGAGGAGGUGACAUAAAGGAGACCUUCAAAUAAGGAAAAACAUUCGCCAGGUAACAAAACCAGGGAGGACCUGCAUCUACCAGUGGCUUAAAGAAUAAGUCAGGUCAAAUGCAUGGGAAAUUG